rnacentral:rRNA from 1 species
AUUGAACGCUGGCGGCAGGCCUAACACAUGCAAGUCGAGCGGAUGAAGGGAGCUUGCUCCUGGAUUCAGCGGCGGACGGGUGAGUAAUGCCUAGGAAUCUGCCUGGUAGUGGGGGAUAACGUCCGGAAACGGGCGCUAAUACCGCAUACGUCCUGAGGGAGAAAGUGGGGGAUCUUCGGACCUCACGCUAUCAGAUGAGCCUAGGUCGGAUUAGCUAGUUGGUGGGGUAAAGGCCUACCAAGGCGACGAUCCGUAACUGGUCUGAGAGGAUGAUCAGUCACCUUGGACUUGAGACCCGGCCCGGCCCCCUCCGGAGGCAGCAGUGGGGAAUAUUGGACAAUGGGCGAAAGCCUGAUCCAGCCAUGCCGCGUGUGUGAAGAAGGUCUUCGGAUUGUAAAGCACUUUAAGUUGGGAGGAAGGGCAGUAAGUUAAUACCUUGCUGUUUUGACGUUACCAACAGAAUAAGCACCGGCUAACUUCGUG